rnacentral:rRNA from 1 species
AUUGAACGCUAGCGGGAUGCUUUACACAUGCAAGUCGAACGAGUGGCGGACGGGUAAGUAGUAUAUCGUAACGUGCCCAGUAGCCGGGGAUAACUACUCGAAAGAGUGGCUAAUACCGCAUACUGUUGGGACGGCCGAUAUCGGAUUAGGUAGUUGGUGGGGUAAAGGCGCACCAAGGCAACGAUCCGUAGCUGGUUUGAGAGGACGACCAGAAACACUGGGACGGAGACAAGGCCCAGACUCGUACGGGAGGCAUCAGUGGGGAAUUUUGGACAAUGGGGGAAACCCUGAUCAAGCCAUCCGGCGUGGAUGAGAAGGCCUUCGGGUUGUAAAGUACUUUUGGCAGAGAAGCGGUAUCUGCAGACUAAGCACAGGCUAACUACGUGCCAGCAGCCGCGGUAAUUC